ensembl:lncRNA SLC22A18AS SLC22A18 antisense RNA
CAUGGCUUCCUGGGCCUACCCUCGUUCUGCUACUCAUGGACCAGUGUGUUUGCCUCUGGAAGCCUCUGUCUCCUCGGCUGUAAAGCGGGCCUACGACAUUGACCGACCACCCAUGAGGUUGUGGCAAUGCGGUGUGCAGAGGGUGCUUGGUGGUUCUCUCCUGAUGGCCCCGCAGGGUCUGCAGCCUCCAUCUGGCCAGCAGAAGGCGCAGAAAGACUGCCUGGGCAGCUCGGACGUGACCGCCUGGAAGUGGUGUACAGCGUUCCUGACAACGUUCCCGGCCAAAACGGGUCCCGCCGCCCACUUGUGUGCAAGAUAACUGGAAAAUGUCUUUCUGUGUGCUCCGAGGAGAAUGCAAAGGCUGGUGGAUGUAGUGCCUUUCCUCUACUGCUCUCUCAGCUGGGGGCAAGAAUGACAGGACGUGAACAUGCACACAAGGGCCCGGAACUCACGACCCCCGACAGCGGUCUCCCCCGCCCCCCCAACCCCGCGCUUGCAGGAUUUAGGGCACUAGCACAGCACAGUCCACCCCUUGGGACUAGCACCCCCUCCGCAGUUCUGCUCUCUGCAGCAACAUAGAGUACAAAUAUUGUUCCUUUUGUUUCUUUUUUCCCUUUGGAUACAUUUUUAAUUACAAAAAUAGAGCUUGAUUGUUGCACCUAGA